rnacentral:rRNA from 1 species
GUACACGCUGUGACUAGCAUAUCAAUAAGCGGAGGAAAAGAAACUAACAAGGAUUCCCCUAGUAACGGCGAGUGAAGCGGGAAGAGCUCAAAUUUGAAAUCUUAAAGGGUUUCCCUUUACGAAUUGUAGUUUAAAGAAGUGUUUUCUGUUGAGGUUUUGGUAAAAGUUCUUUGGAAUAGGACAUCAUAGAGGGUGAGAAUCCCGUAUUUGACCUUUACUUUCAACUUUGUGAUACACUUUCAAAGAGUCGGAUUGUCUGGGAAUGCAGUCCAAAAUGGGUGGUAAAUUUCAUCUAAAGCUAAAUAUUGGCGAGAGACCGAUAGCGAACAAGUACCGUGAGGGAAAGAUGAAAAGAACUUUGAAAAGAGAGUUAAACAGUACGUGAAAUUGUCAAAAGGGGAGCGUUUGUACACCAGUGUUGUUUUUCUGAAAAUCAAUUAAAGAACUGUUUAUGCUAAGUUGUUUAGACUUUAUCAGCUAACUGUUUAGUUUUGAGCUUUUCUUUAAUGCACUUUUCAGUUAACAAGUCAACAUCAAUUUCUUUUGCUGUAAAAAAGCUUGAGGGAAGGUGGCUUGAGAUUCGUCUUAAGUGUUUAUAGCCUCUUGCCUAUGCAGUCGGAGAGAUUGAGGUCUGCAGCGUAGAUCCUUCGGGGCUAAAUGCAUUUGUGCUAAGUUAUAGCAUUUCAUAGACAACUUGUUGACUAUGAUUUGUCUUGUAGCUUACUCGCUUAUGUUAUUUUACCUACGCUUAGGAUGUUGACAGCAGUAUAGACUGUA